CGGAGUGUAGCGCAGCCGGAUAGCGCACCUGAUUUGGGAUCAGGGGGUCGUUGGUUUGAAUCCAACCAUUCCGACCA
rnacentral:tRNA from 1 species